rnacentral:rRNA from 1 species
GUCUGGGAAUUACGAGUAAAACUUAAAACCCAAAGGACUUGACGGUACCCCAUAUCCCCCUAGAGGAGCCUGUCCUAUAAUCGAUGACCCCCGUUUAACCUCACCACACCUAGCUUUUUCAGCCUGUAUACUUCCGUCGCAAGCCUACCACAUGAGCGAAACUUAGUUAGCCCUAUGUCCCCACAUAAAUGUGUUUAUACCGACAACACGUCAGGUCAAAGUGCAGCAAACGCUGUGGAAUGAGAUUGGCUACACUUUUUAACUUAAAAGAAACAGAAAACAAAAUGAAACUUUGUCAGAAGGUGGAUUUAGCAGUAAAAGAAAAAUAUUAAAUUUCUUUUAACUCGGCCCUGGAGUGUGU